rnacentral:tRNA from 2 species
GCCCCCGUAGCUCAAUUGGAUAGAGCAACGGACUUCGGAUCCGUUGGCUGCGCGUUCGAGUCGCGCCGGGGGCG